CUCGAAUCCUUGGAACCUAGGUGUGAGUGCUGCUUCAGUGCAACACACCUAUUCAAGGAUUCAAA
ensembl:miRNA